rnacentral:rRNA from 1 species
UACGGAGGGUGCAAGCGUUAAUCGGAAUUACUGGGCGUAAAGCGUGCGCAGGCGGUUUGGUAAGUCUGCUGUGAAAUCCCCGAGCUCAACUUGGGAAUUGCAGUGGAUACUGGCAAGCUAGAGUAUGGUAGAGGAAGGUGGAAUUCCCGGUGUAGCAGUGAAAUGCGUAGAGAUCGGGAGGAACACCAGUGGCGAAGGCGGCCUUCUGGACCAAUACUGACGCUCAUGCACGAAAGCGUGGGGAGCAAACAGG